UAGCUCUUCUCUCAUACUUCUCUUUUUUCCUUUCUCAAUCCUCCUACAGUCCCUUCAGUUGCUUCCAGAAUUGAGAUCCACAAAAAAAAAACCCAACCCAAAUGAAAUGGGGUGAGUUUUCAGAUGGGAUAACUCAUGGUGUCAUUGCUGACUUCAUUCCAGUCUAGUACUGAAGGCAAAUGAAAAAUACUGAAAAUUCAGCUGAAAAACUCUUGCAGUCUUCGAGCUUGACAAAGAUGAAACCAUAAUGAAGAUUACAAACUGCAGGAGAGCAUAAAACAUCCAUCUUAGAGCUUCUGUCAGCAGCAGAGAUGAUCCCAGAAGGCAAAACCUCCUCAUUACAGGCUCUGCCUCAGAAGUCUCAUUUACCUCAGAUAAAA